rnacentral:rRNA from 1 species
AAGUCGUAACAAGGUUUCCGUAGGUGAACCUGCGGAAGGAUCAUUACCGAGUGAGGGCCCUUUGGGUCCAACCUCCCACCCGUGUUUAUUUUACCUUGUUGCUUCGGCGGGCCCGCCUUUACUGGCCGCCGGGGGGCUCACGCCCCCGGGUCCGCGCCCGUCGAAGACACCCUCGAACUCUGUCUGAAGAUUGAAGUCUGAGUGAAAAUAUAAAUUAUUUAAAACUUUCAACAACGGAUCUCUUGGUUCCGGCAUCGAUGAAGAACGCAGCGAAAUGCGAUACGUAAUGCGAAUUGCAAAUUCAGUGAAUCAUCGAGUCUUUGAACGCACAUUGCGCCCCCUGGUAUUCCGGGGGGCAUGCCUGUCCGAGCGUCAUUGCUGCCCUCAAGCCCGGCUUGUGUGUUGGGCCCCGUCCUCCGAUUCCGGGGGACGGGCCCGAAAGGCAGCGGCGGCACCGCGUCCGGUCCUCGAGCGUAUGGGGCUUUGUCACCCGCUCCGUAGGCCCGGCCGGCGCUUGCCGAUCAACCCAAAUUUUUAUCCAGGUUGACCUCGGAUCAGGUAGGGAUACCCGCUGAACUUAA